rnacentral:rRNA from 1 species
UACGAAGGGGGCUAGCGUUGCUCGGAAUUACUGGGCGUAAAGCGCACGUAGGCGGUCUUUUAAGUCGUUGGUGAAAUCCUGGAGCUCAACUCCAGAACUGCCUUCGAUACUGGAAGACUUGAGUCCGGGAGAGGUGAGUGGAACUGCGAGUGUAGAGGUGAAAUUCGUAGAUAUUCGCAAGAACACCAGUGGCGAAGGCGGCUCACUGGCCCGGUACUGACGCUGAGGUGCGAAAGCGUGGGGAGCAAACAGG